rnacentral:lncRNA from 1 species
GUAAAUGUUUUUAAAAUGAAGUAAUAUUUUUGUUUAAAAAAAGAAUAAAGAAAGGUAUAUGUAAGGUAUAUUUUAUAUCAAAAAUUUUAUGGAUAGAAAUAAAACCAAAUAUUCACUAAUGGCAAUUUGAAAAGAUGAAUCAAAAGAAGAGAGUAACUUUUCAUUUAAAAAAUGAGUUACCAUAACAACACCUCCUUCCUCUCUCAAUUUUCUUAUUUCGAUAUUGUCAAUAUAAUUUUAUAUACGGGCUAAAAUAUGACGCUUGGUAAAGUCAAUGUUGCCCACUUUACGCGUGGACGUAAACUACUGGACAAAACAGGUACGCAAACAAAAAACCUCGCGUUGACGAAAUGUCCUGAAACGGUUGUGUGACGCCACAGUCUGAAAAACUCGGAUUUUUUGCUGGAGCUGUGUUGUGGCGCCCUACGGCUCUAAACAAAACAACAAAGCUGUUUUUCUCCUCUAUUGGAAGGAAAAUUCAGUGUUGCUAAUAUCUCGCCAAUUACAUAAACAAAAACGAAACGCUUUUUUACACUCGUAUGCAAUCUCGUCUACUCUUGAAUGACUGUUGACAGUAUAGUGAAAACAUCAAGGUGUAUACGUCGCAUUCUUUAUCACGAAGUAAUCCAGUGCAAAAUGCAUUUCUAUCGAAGUUUAAUGGUUGCUCUUUGUUUGGCUAUUUCAGUUUACCACGGGAGUGCUCAAUACGCCAAAGCUUGCUGGACGGAUUCCGACUGUGUUGUUUCCUGGUACCACUCUCCUGCACCUCAACGAUGCAUCAACAACCGCUGUGAAUCGGUAAAUAUUUUUGACGGGUGCGAAGACUUCGAGCGUAAAACUGGAAUCAAGGCUCAGCGGGUAUGAAAUGCUCUAUCGAAAUGUUGAAGCGGGGACGUUUGAGACAGCUGUAUUCAGGGAGUUGUAACAUGGGAGUUUGCAGGAAAAUUGGUGCUUCGCAGAAAUACGCAAUCUCUGCGCUUUAAUCUAACCUGCCCAUUUAUUUACAAGAAAAAUGCAUUCGACUUAAUUCUCAAAAAUGAAUUUAAGUAUCAUCGUAAGUACCAGUUAUGGGAUCCCUCAUGUACAUUAAAGCUUUUAAAGCACUUAUUUAGCUUUUAUUGUUUUGUCAUCGUUUCCCUCAUGAAAGAAUGUAACUACAGAUCAAAGUUGCCAUAUUUCCU